rnacentral:rRNA from 1 species
AGUUUUGAAAAGACUCCCAAACCCUGUGAACUUACCUAUUGUUGCCUCGGUAGGUGGCCUCGUUGCGCUGUAGGAAUAACUCCCUAUGGUACAGUGGGUGCACCCUGCCGAAGGCCCCUAUAAACUCUUUGUAUUUUGAACAUUGGAUCUUCUGAAGUGGAAAAAAAUAAGUUAAAACUUUCAACAACGGAUCUCUUGGCUCUGGCAUCGAUGAAGAACGCAGCGAAAUGCGAUACGUAAUGUGAAUUGCAGAACUCAGUGAAUCAUCGAAUCUUUGAACGCACAUUGCGCCCGCCAGUAUUCUGGCGGGCAUGCCUGUUCGAGCGUCAUUUCAACCCUUAAGCCUCUGUCGCUUAGCGUUGGGAGACUGCUAGGAUGUCCUUGCAGCUCCCUAAAUUCAGUGGCGGAGUAGGUCUUCACCCCAGACGUAGUAGCUAUUACAUCGCCUGUGGCAUAGGCUCUCUCUUGCCGUAAAAAAAAAAUGCCCUAAAAAGCACUAUAGGUUGACCUCGGAUCAGGUAGGAAUACCCGCUGAACUUAAGCAUAUCAAUAAGCGGAGGAAAAGAAACCAACAGGGAUUGCCCUAGUAACGGCGAGUGAAGCGGCAACAGCUCAAAUUUGAAAUCUGGCCUUCGGGUCCGAGUUGUAAUUUGUAGAGGAUGCUUUUGGUGAGGUGCCUUCCGAGUUCCCUGGAACGGGACGCCUUAGAGGGUGAGAGCCCCGUACGGUUGGACACCGAACCUCUGUAAAGCUCCUUCGACGAGUCGAGUAGUUUGGGAAUGCUGCUCUAAAUGGGAGGUAAAUUUCUUCUAAAGCUAAAUAUUGGCCAGAGACCGAUAGCGCACAAGUAGAGUGAUCGAAAGAUGAAAAGCACUUUGAAAAGAGGGUUAAACAGCACGUGAAAUUGUUGAAAGGGAAGCGUUUGCGACCAGACUUUUUCCUAGCGGAUCAUCCGGUGGUUUCCACCGGUGCACUUCGCGAGGAUUAGGCCAGCAUCGGCUUCUGUAGGGGGAUAAAAACAGUGGGAACGUGGCUCCUCCGGGAGUGUUAUAGCCCUCUGUAUAAUACCCUUAUAGGGGCCGAGGACCGCGCCUCG